rnacentral:lncRNA from 1 species
GCAGACUGAGGAUUGUAGCUUGGGGAUGUAGGACUAUAGGUUGGUGAAGUUGGGCUAUAACUUGGUGAAGUUGGACUAUAACCAGGAGAAGUGGGGCUAUAGGCUGGUGAAGUGGGGCUGUACGAUGGAGAAGUAGGGCUGUAUGACGGUGAGGUAGGGCUGUACGAAGGUGAUGUUGGGCUGUAGGAAGGAGAGGUUGGGCUGUACGAUGGUGAGGUGGGGCUGUAUGCAGGUGAGGUGGGGCUAUAUGCAGGUGAGGUGGGGCUAUAUGCCGGUGAGGUGGGGCUAUAGCUUGGUGAAGUUGGACUGUAACUGGGAGAAGUGGGGCUGUAACUUGGAGAGGUCGGGCUGUAGCUUGGGGAUGUUGGGCUGUAACUUGGGGAGGUUGGGCUAUAGCUUGGUGAAGUAGGUGAGUACGAUGGACUGGUAGGAGAAUAGGCAGGACUGGUUGGACUAUAACCAG